ACGAACGCUGGCGGCGUGCUUAACACAUGCCAGUCGAACGGAAAGGCCCUGCUUUUGUGGGGUGCUCGAGUGGCGAACGGGUGAGUAACACGUGAGUAACCUGCCCUUGACUUUGGGAUAACUUCAGGAAACUGUGGCUAAUACCGGAUAGGAGCUCCUGCUGCAUGGUGGGGGUUGGAAAGUUUCGGCGGUUGGGGAUGGACUCGCGGCUUAUCAGCUUGUUGGUGGGGUAGUGGCUUACCAAGGCUUUGACGGGUAGCCGGCCUGAGAGGGUGACCGGCCACAUUGGGACUGAGAUACGGCCCAGACUCCUACGGGAGGCAGCAGUGGGGAAUAUUGCACAAUGGGCGGAAGCCUGAUGCAGCAACGCCGCGUGCGGGAUAACGGCCUUCGGGUUGUAAACCGCUUUCGCCUGUGACGAAGCGUGAGUGACGGUAAUGGGUAAAGAAGCACCGGCUAACUACGUG
rnacentral:rRNA from 1 species